rnacentral:rRNA from 1 species
UACGGAGGAUGCAAGCGUUAUCCGGAAUUAUUGGGCGUAAAGCGUCCGCAGGUGGUUUAUCAAGUCUGCUGUCAAAGCGCGAGGCUUAACUUCGUAAAGGCAGUGGAAACUGAUAGACUGGAGUGCAGUAGGGGCAGAGGGAAUUCCCAGUGUAGCGGUGAAAUGCGUAGAUAUCGGGAGGAACACCAGUGGCGAAGGCGGUUGCCUGGGGCUUUGCUGACGCUGAUGCGCGAAAGCGUGGGGAGCGAUCCGG